CUGAGUUUACGCUCUAUAACCCUUUGUGAACAUACCUAUAACUGUUGCUUCGGCGGGUAGGGUCUCCGUGACCCUCCCGGCCUCCCGCCCCCGGGCGGGUCGGCGCCCGCCGGAGGAUAACCAAACUCUGAUUUAACGACGUUUCUUCUGAGUGGUACAAGCAAAUAAUCAA
rnacentral:misc_RNA from 1 species